AAGACAUCUGGAACCAAACACUCAAGAGGAAGACAAAGCCAAACAGAGGUAGAUGAAGGAUGUGGAAGAGGCGGACGAAAGGCCAACAAAACAGCAAAAGAGCAAAAAGGCAACCUGUGCCUCAAAAGAGACAGCAGACCAAAUGAUUGAAGACCUGAAGAAGGAGCUGAUGGCUAAGCAAGCGUCUUUAGAGUCAACUUCUGAAAAGGAGGAGUGCCCAGGAACUGGAGUAAGGCACCGCUGCAAAUAAAGGAACUUAAAAGAGAGAACAAGAGCCUGAAAGAAGACAAUGUUGAGGAGAUGCUAGAUGCCA